GAUGAACGCUGACAGAAUGCUUAACACAUGCAAGUCAACUUGAAUUUGGGUUUUUAACUUAGGUUUGGGUGGCGGACGGGUGAGUAACGCGUAAAGGACUUGCCUCACAGCUAGGGACAACAUUUGGAAACGAAUGCUAAUACCUAAUAUUAUGAUAAUAGGGCAUCCUAUAAUUAUGAAAGCUAUAAGCGCUGUGAGAGAGCUUUGCGUCCCAUUAGCUAGUUGGAGAGGUAACGGCUCACCAAGGCGAUGAUGGGUAGCCGGCCUGAGAGGGUGAUCGGCCACAAGGGGACUGAGACACGGCCCUUACUCCUACGGGAGGCAGCAGUGGGGAAUAUUGGACAAUGGACCGAGAGUCUGAUCCAGCAAUUCUGUGUGCACGAUGAAGUUUUUCGGAAUGUAAAGUGCUUUCAGUUGGGAAGAAACAAAUGACGGUACCAACAGAAGAAGUGACGGCUAAAUACGUG
rnacentral:rRNA from 1 species